UAAUACCAGCACCUCGAGUGGUCAGGACGUUUAUUGGGCCUAAAGCAUCCGUAGCCGGCUUUGCAAGUCUUCGGUUAAAUCCACCUGCUCAACAGAUGGGCUGCUGGAGAUACUACAGAGCUAGGGAGUGGGAGAGGCAGACGGUAUUCAGUGGGUAGGGGUAAAAUCCUCUGAUCCAUUGAGGACCACCAGUGGCGAAGGCGGUCUGCCAGAACACGUUCGACGGUGAGGGAUGAAAGCUGGGGGAGCAAACCGGAUUAGAUACCCGGGUAGUCCCAGCUGUAAACGAUGCAAACUCGGUGAUGCAUUGGCUUAUGGCCAAUGCAGUGCCGCAGGGAAGCCGUUAAGUUUGCCGCCUGGGAAGUACGGACGCAAGUCUGAAACUCAAAUGAAUUGACGGACGUCG
rnacentral:rRNA from 1 species